GAUGAACGCUGGCGGCGUGCUUAACACAUGCAAGUCGAACGGAAAGGCCCUGCUUUUGUGGGGUGCUCGAGUGGCGAACGGGUGAGUAACACGUGAGUAACCUGCCCUUGACUUUGGGAUAACUUCAGGAAACUGGGGCUAAUACCGGAUAGGAGCUCCUGCUGCAUGGUGGGGGUUGGAAAGUUUCGGCGGUUGGGGAUGGACUCGCGGCUUAUCAGCUUGUUGGUGGGGUAGUGGCUUACCAAGGCUUUGACGGGUAGCCGGCCUGAGAGGGUGACCGGCCACAUUGGGACUGAGAUACGGCCCAGACUCCUACGGGAGGCAGCAGUGGGGAAUAUUGCACAAUGGGCGGAAGCCUGAUGCAGCAACGCCGCGUGCGGGAUGACGGCCUUCGGGUUGUAAACCGCUUUCGCCUGUGACGAAGCGUGAGUGACGGUAAUGGGUAAAGAAGCACCGGCUAACUACGUGCCAGCAGCCGCGGUGAUACGUAGGGUGCGAGCGUUGUCCGGAUUUAUUGGGCGUAAAGGGCUCGUAGGUGGUUGAUCGCGUCGGAAGUGUAAUCUUGGGGCUUAACCCUGAGCGUGCUUUCGAUACGGGUUGACUUGAGGAAGGUAGGGGAGAAUGGAAUUCCUGGUGGAGCGGUGGAAUGCGCAGAUAUCAGGAGGAACACCAGUGGCGAAGGCGGUUCUCUGGGCCUUUCCUGACGCUGAGGAGCGAAAGCGUGGGGAGCGAACAGGCUUAGAUACCCUGGUAGUCCACGCUGUAAACGGUGGGUACUAGGUGUGGGGUCCAUUCCACGGGUUCCGUGCCGUAGCUAACGCUUUAAGUACCCCGCCUGGGGAGUACGGCCGCAAGGCUAAAACUCAAAGGAAUUGACGGGGCCCCGCACAAGCGGCGGAGCAUGCGGAUUAAUUCGAUGCAACGCGUAGAACCUUACCUGGGUUUGACAUGGAUCGGGAGUGCUCAGAGAUGGGUGUGCCUCUUUUGGGGUCGGUUCACAGGUGGUGCAUGGCUGUCGUCAGCUCGUGUCGUGAGAUGCUGGGUUAAGUCCCGCAACGAGCGCAACCCUUGUUCACUGUUGCCAGCACGUUAUGGUGGGGACUCAGUGGAGACCGCCGGGGUCAACUCGGAGGAAGGUGGGGAUGACGUCAAGUCAUCAUGCCCCUUAUGUCCAGGGCUUCACGCAUGCUACAAUGGCUGGUACAGAGAGUGGCGAGCCUGUGAGGGUGAGCGAAUCUCGGAAAGCCGGUCUCAGUUCGGAUUGGGGUCUGCAACUCGACCUCAUGAAGUCGGAGUCGCUAGUAAUCGCAGAUCAGCAACGCUGCGGUGAAUACGUUCCCGGG
rnacentral:rRNA from 1 species